AGAGCCAUGCGAGGCGCGAGGAGCAGGCAGCCGGAGGGCUCCGUGUCACAAAGGCUGCCGGGGCAGCACGCGAGCCAGAGUCACGACAAGCCCGGGUCCCAGGCUCGCUGCUGCCUCAAAUCUCAUCCGGUCCCAAAGCCAGCUGCCCUGCAGAGAGGAGCCUACCGGCACCGGGCACGUCUGUGGGAGGGCGAGGCUGGGAGAAAGUGAGAGGGGGACUGCGGGCGCGCGGGGCGGGCGCGCGGCGGGUCCCGGGAGGGAAAGGACAACGGAGCCGGGGGUAGGGGGUGGACGAGGAGAUGUGGCAGAGGCGCAUUCCCUCUGGCUGAUCUUGCCAGGGAGGAGACCUGAGGACCGGAAUCGGUGACCGACAGGAGGGGGAGGGGGCUCCCGGGGGCCGCAGGUCGAGGCGCGUGAGCCGGACACGAGGUGCGCGCUGCAGGGUUGGGGAAUCGGG
rnacentral:lncRNA from 1 species